rnacentral:rRNA from 1 species
AACGAACGCUGGCGGCAUGCCUAACACAUGCAAGUCGAACGAGACCUUCGGGUCUAGUGGCGCACGGGUGCGUAACGCGUGGGAACCUGCCCUUAGGUUCGGAAUAACUCCCCGAAAGGGGUGCUAAUACCGGAUAAUGUCUUCGGACCAAAGAUUUAUCGCCUUUGGAUGGGCCCGCGUUGGAUUAGCUAGUUGGUAGGGUAAAAGCCUACCAAGGCGACGAUCCAUAGCUGGUCUGAGAGGAUGAUCAGCCACACUGGGACUGAGACACGGCCCAGACUCCUACGGGAGGCAGCAGUGGGGAUUAUUGGACAAUGGGCGAAAGCCUGAUCCAGCAAUGCCGCGUGAGUGAUGAAGGCCUUAGGGUUGUAAAGCACUUUUACCCGGGAUGAUAAUGACAGUACCGGGAGAAUAAGCGCCGGCUAACUCCGUG